UCUGAUCUCAUGGUGCCUCGUUUCCCUAAUU
rnacentral:piRNA from 1 species